UCAACAUGAUAUAAUCUUAAUUAUUGUGACUUUAGGCUUCUGAUUUUGUUUUCUUGAAUUAUUGGAAUGACAUUACUGCAUGUAUCGCAUUUGACUUUUCUAGUAUUUACAUGCAAUUACAUGUAAAAUUGUAAAACAUGUAUUCCACCCUUGACGGAUCCAUUUUUUAAACAUUCGGCCAUGUAGAAGAUAUGUAAUUUGGUAAUUUUUCAGAAAACUUGAAAAUUAUUGCUGUUUUCUUUAUGAUAUAUGCUUAAUUUGACUAACUUUAUUGAUUUAUUUUCAUUUAAAGACUAUAGAGGACUUUCAUAUUUCAGCUUCCUGGACCCGGAGAGCUUGGUAUCUGAUCGGCGGGGGGCAUUUUCUCUAUAUAAGAAGAAGAUGGAGACUCGCUACCCACCCGAUAUAUUUUGUCAGACAGAUUUCUGUACAUUGCAGUGACAACUGCAUCCAGAUUUCAUCACAGGAAUGAAAGUUUUUCACUCUUUGGAAAAGCACCUGCAGCAGGGAGGUGACAUUCAUUAAGAUGGCCACAGAUUCCAAGACACUGAAGUGACAGGCCUCAAAUUUCAUACAUGUAUAUUGGAAUGAGGCACAAAAAGGGAGUUGGACAGCAUUUGGGGAACAUCUGUAAAUGUCACCGUUAUAAUUAACACUAGUUAUUAUGUGUUUGGUCACCUUAAUAAAGAUGUUAAAGAUAAGGG